rnacentral:lncRNA from 1 species
CUCUAAAUGCUUCGGUUUUUGAGUUAUAAGCCAAAAACUGCAUUUGACCCCUAUGUUCUAUUUUUAGCAAUGACGACCAUGUUUGUUGAUAGAUCAAAACUUCGGAUACAAUUUAUAAACUAAAUACCCUAAGGAACAUUCAGUUAAAGUUUGGAAGUAUUUGGCCUAGUAGUUUCAGAGGAGAAGAUUCUUGAAAUAGUUUACGACGACGGACGCCAAGUGAUGGCAUAAGC